ACUUUGUUGUUAAGAGGCUUGAGGUUAUCAUGAUGCAAAAGAGAUUCAGUCAACUUGGAGGUCUUCAACUUGACAGAGAUGUUCGAGCCCUUGUGAGCUACUUCUCCAACAUGACCCAGAGGACUGUUAGGGACAAAUUUGCUCGUCUAACCCAAAUGGCUACAAUAUUAAACUUGGAGAAGGUAUCUGAAAUUCUGGAUUUCUGGGGUGAAAACUCAGGACCCAUGACCUGGAGACUUACUCCAGCUGAGGUUAGAAGAGUGUUGAGUUUGAGAGUUGACUUCAAAUCUGAAGCAAUAGCGGCUCUUAAGCUGUAACCUUUUUUUAUGGUUUAUUUUGUUCGAUAUCUCUUUAUAAGCUAGAUGAUGUUACAUUUUUUCGGGUUUAUUUAACUUCUAUAAGAGAUUGUUACAUGAAAUCUAUGAUUUCUUGUUAGUUCUUCUAUUUUUACUCCCACCCGAAUACUUUAUUAAAUUUCUUCUUAUUCCUUGUCUUAACGUGUCUCUUUUGCAUGUUUUAUCUUCAAAGCAGUUCGUUGAUUGUUGUCACAGUGAUUAUGUAUGUCUGACGAUGUGUGUUCAGGUUGAGCUUGGCAUUAUUUGUAUGCUAUUUGGAUUUUCUUUUUAGGUAAUCCAGGCACUGUUAGCGGGCCAUUAGCUCCCCUUGUUCCAGCAAUUUUACAUUGCUUAUCAAUUGGUUCAAAUAUGAAGGGAACUUUGGCAUAACUAGGAAAGUUGAUGUCACAAGACCAGGAGGUCACAGGUUUAAGCCGUGGAAACAGUUUCUUGCAAAAAUGCAAGGAAAGGUUGUGUACGAUAGACCCUUUGGCCCUUCCCCGACCCAACGCGUAACAGGAUAACUUCAUAUGGUAAAAGGAGGAAUUAGAGAAGAGAGUUAAGGACAUGAUUGAGAAAGCCGCGGCGUUGGAGAAGAAAUUGGUUGAGAAAGAAAGGAUUAUUACUGAAAGAUUUGCUGAUAACAAUAUUAAUGGCAUUCCUGAGGAUGAUGAUAAAGUUGGAUUUUUCGGUGGUGAAGUAAAUUUGCCACUGGUUGCUGGAUCAUCACUAGUUGCAGUUGCUGUUGUUGGUGUUAUUUGGUAUCUUCGAUAUGGAAGAAAAACAGUGUAAACCCUUAGCUUGAUCUUGAAUAUGUUUUUAGUCUUUUUGGUUUUGUGCUGAUCAAGAUAUCGAAUUUACAGUUUUGAUAGUUGUUUGGUUAUGUUGGAUUACUAGUUAACUUUUUUGUCUUAAUCAGAUAAUAGAUUACACUAUUAUGGUUAUUAGCUUAUGGUGCUGAAAUAUGUUUGUUUGCUAAGGUGGAGAUAGUUGACAUACUUCUAUUAGUGCUUCUUUCUUGUUUCCACGAGUUCGAUUACAAUGGAUUUGUAGUUUUUGCUUUGUGAUGUAAUUGCUUAAAGAGUUUCUGAAUCUGUAUGUAAUAAUGUGUUUUUGUUGAAAUGAUUGAAUUGCUUAAACACUUUUUGAUUGCUUC